ACGAACGCUGGCGGCGUGCUUCACACCUGCCAGUCGCACGGAAAGGCCUUUUCGGAGGUACUCGAGUGGCGAACGGGUGAGUAACACGUGGGUGAUCUGCCCUGCACUCUGGGAUAAGCCUGGGAAACUGGGUCUAAUACCGGAUAGGACCGCACUUUAGUGUGUGUGGUGGAAAGUUUUUUCGGUGUAGGAUGAGCCCGCGGCCUAUCAGCUUGUUGGUGGGGUAAUGGCCUACCAAGGCGGCGACGGGUAGCCGGACUGAGAGGUUGGUCGGCCACAUUGGGACUGAGAUACGGCCCAGACUCCUACGGGAGGCAGCAGUGGGGAAUAUUGCACAAUGGGCGCAAGCCUGAUGCAGCGACGCCGCGUGGGGGAUGACGGCCUUCGGGUUGUAAACUCCUUUCGCCAGGGACGAAGCGUUUUGUGACGGUACCUGGAGAAGAAGCACCGGCUAACUACGUG
rnacentral:rRNA from 1 species